rnacentral:tRNA from 1 species
GCGUGGAUCGCAUAGCCAGGUAGUGCGCCGGCCUUGAAAGCCGGUGUCGAACGACUCGGGGGUUCGAAUCCCUCUCCACGCGC